rnacentral:rRNA from 1 species
UUUGUCUCUCCCCACACACGCGUAUACGUAGGUGGCGAGCGUUGUCCGGAAUUAUUGGGCGUAAAGGGCUCGCAGGCGGUUUCUUAAGUCUGAUGUGAAAGCCCCCGGCUCAACCGGGGAGGGUCAUUGGAAACUGGGAAACUUGAGUGCAGAAGAGGAGAGUGGAAUUCCACGUGUAGCGGUGAAAUGCGUAGAGAUGUGGAGGAACACCAGUGGCGAAGGCGACUCUCUGGUCUGUAACUGACGCUGAGGAGCGAAAGCGUGGGGAGCGAACAGGAUUAGAUACCCUGGUAGUCCACGCCGUAAACGAUGAGUGCUAAGUGUUAGGGGGUUUCCGCCCCUUAGUGCUGCAGCUAACGCAUUAAGCACUCCGCCUGGGGAGUACGGUCGCAAGACUGAAACUCAAAGGAAUUGACGGGGGCCCGCACAAGCGGUGGAGCAUGUGGUUUAAUUCGAAGCAACGCGAAGAACCUUACCAGGUCUUGACAUCCUCUGACAACCCUAGAGAUAGGGCUUUCCCUUCGGGGACAGAGUGACAGGUGGUGCAUGGUUGUCGUCAGCUCGUGUCGUGAGAUGUUGGGUUAAGUCCCGCAACGAGCGCAACCCUUGAUCUUAGUUGCCAGCAUUCAGUUGGGCACUCUAAGGUGACUGCCGGUGACAAACCGGAGGAAGGUGGGGAUGACGUCAAAUCAUCAUGCCCCUUAUGACCUGGGCUACACACGUGCUACAAUGGACAGAACAAAGGGCUGCGAGACCGCAAGGUUUAGCCAAUCCCACAAAUCUGUUCUCAGUUCGGAUCGCAGUCUGCAACUCGACUGCGUGAAGCUGGAAUCGCUAGUAAUCGCGGAUCCAGUCUUGCCGCGUGACUUCUCUCUGCGCGAUAUAUA